GACGAACGCUGGCGGCGCGCUUAAUACAUGCAAGUCGAGCGAGAACCGGAGCUUCGGCUCCGGGGACAGCGGCGAACGGGUGAGUAACACGUGGAUAACCUGCCCUCGGCACCGGGAUAGCCCGGGGAAACCCGGAUUAAUACCGGAUGGCCCUUUCGCUCUUCGGAGCGGUCGGAAAAGGUAGCUUCGGCCUCCGGCCGAGGAUGGGUCCGCGGCGGAUUAGCUUGUUGGUGAGGUAACGGCUCACCAAGGCUCCGAUCCGUAGCUGGUCUGAGAGGACGAUCAGCCACACUGGGACUGAGACACGGCCCAGACUCCUACGGGAGGCAGCAGUAGGGAAUCUUGCGCAAUGGGCGAAAGCCUGACGCAGCGACGCCGCGUGCGGGAAGACGGCCUUCGGGUUGUAAACCGCUUUCAGGAGGGACGAAGCCACUCGGGUGAAUAGCCCAGAGGGUGACGGUACCUCCAGAAGAAGCCCCGGCUAACUACGUGCCAGCCGCCGCGGUAAUAC
rnacentral:rRNA from 1 species